rnacentral:rRNA from 1 species
AAAUUAAAGGGCUGCAGUAAAUUGACUGUACAAAGGUAGCAUAAUCAUUAGUCUUUUAAUUGAAGACUUGUAUGAAAGAUUUGAUGAAAUAUAGACUGUCUCUUUUUUAUAAUUAAAAUUUAAUUUUUUAGUAAAAAAGCUAAAAUUUAUUUAAAAGACGAGAAGACCCUAUAGAGUUUUAUAAUUUAAUUAAUUAUAAUUUUAUAUGAAAUUUUUAAAAAAAAUUAAUUUAAUUAUUUUAUUGGGGUGAUAAAAAAAUUAAAUAAACUUUUUUUUUUAAUAAACAUUAAUUAAUGAAUAAAUGAUCCAUAAUUUAUGAUUAAAAGAAAAAAUUACCUUAGGGAUAACAGCGUAAUUUUUUUUUUUAGUUCAAAUAAUAAAAAAAGUUUGCGACCUCGAUGUUGGAUUAAGAUAAAAUUUAAAUGCAGAAGUUUAAA